UGCGUAUAAUGCAAGUCGAACGCUUCUUUCCUCCCGAGUGCUUGCACUCAAUUGGAAAGAGGAGUGGCGGACGGGUGAGUAACACGUGGGUAACCUACCCAUCAGAGGGGGAUAACACUUGGAAACAGGUGCUAAUACCGCAUAACAGUUUAUGCCGCAUGGCAUAAGAGUGAAAGGCGCUUUCGGGUGUCGCUGAUGGAUGGACCCGCGGUGCAUUAGCUAGUUGGUGAGGUAACGGCUCACCAAGGCCACGAUGCAUAGCCGACCUGAGAGGGUGAUCGGCCACACUGGGACUGAGACACGGCCCAGACUCCUACGGGAGGCAGCAGUAGGGAAUCUUCGGCAAUGGACGAAAGUCUGACCGAGCAACGCCGCGUGAGUGAAGAAGGUUUUCGGAUCGUAAAACUCUGUUGUUAGAGAAGAACAAGGACGUUAGUAACUGAACGUCCCCUGACGGUAUCUAACCAGAAAGCCACGGCUAACUACGUGCCAGCAGCCGCGGUAAUACGUAGGUGGCAAGCGUUGUCCGGAUUUAUUGGGCGUAAAGCGAGCGCAGGCGGUUUCUUAAGUCUGAUGUGAAAGCCCCCGGCUCAACCGGGGAGGGUCAUUGGAAACUGGGAGACUUGAGUGCAGAAGAGGAGAGUGGAAUUCCAUGUGUAGCGGUGAAAUGCGUAGAUAUAUGGAGGAACACCAGUGGCGAAAGCGGCUCUCUGGUCUGUAACUGACGCUGAGGCUCGAAAGCGUGGGGAGCAACAGGAUUAGAUACCCUGGUAGUCCACGCCGUAACGAUGAGUGCUAAGUGUUGGAGGGUUUCCGCCCUUCAGUGCUGCAGCAAACGCAUUAAGCACUCUCGCCUGGGGAGUACGACCGCAAGGUUG
rnacentral:rRNA from 1 species